GGGCCGGUAGUUCAGUGGUAGAAUGUCCGUUUCGCAUACGGAAGGUCGAGGGUUCGAAUCCCUCCCGGUCCA
rnacentral:tRNA from 1 species